rnacentral:lncRNA from 1 species
CUUUUCUUUUCUUUUUUUGGAAGCUGGUAACUGGUCUUUGCUGACAGAAGGACAUUUAUGUGGUGAAAGAGUGAUGUGCCAAGACCCACUUAAAAGAAUCCAGCUGUACUGGCCAAGCAGAAGUCAGCCAAGGUCCAUUUUCAAAGCCUGUUUCUCAGCUUUGCUACCACAAGGACCCCAUCUCCCCAAACUCCCCUACAGUGGAGAGCACAGCCUUCCUCUAUGUCAAAUUCAUCUCUCCUCAACAUGUGGAAGAGCUCAGAAGACGGUCAUGGGAGGAGACCCAGAACAGGGCUCCAGCUGCAGACCCACAAGGACAGGGACCAUAUUCAAAGUGUUUUCUUAUUUCCUACACUGCCUGACACUGGGCAGGUGCUGGGUCGAGUGUUUGAG